CCUACGGGAGGCUGCAGUGGGGGAUAUUGCACAAUGGGGGGAACCCUGAUGCAGCGACGCCGCGUGGGUGAAGGAGUGCUUCGGCAUGUAAAGCCCUAUCGGCAGGGAAGAAGCAAGACGGUACCUGACUAAGAAGCCCCGGCUAACUACGUGCCAGCAGCCGCGGUAAUACGUAGGGGGCGAGCGUUAUCCGGAUUCACUGGGUGUAAAGGGAGCGUAGACGGCCAUGCAAGCCAGGGGUGAAAGCCCGGGGCCCAACCCCGGGACUGCCCUUGGAACUGGGCGGCUAGAGUGCGGGAGGGGCAGGCGGAAUGCCUGGUGGAGCGGUGAAAUGCGUAGAUAUCAGGAGGAACGCCGGCGGCGAAGGCGGCCUGCUGGACCGCGACUGACGUUGAGGCUCGAAAGCGUGGGGAGCGAACAGGAUUAGAUACCCCGGUAGUC
rnacentral:rRNA from 1 species